ACAGGAGCUGGGUCUGGUGAUCACAGGAACACUUCCCGUCUUCAACAAGACCAACACCAAAGCUGACAAAGAGAGGGGACUACAGAGGCCCCAAAACCAGCUGAUCCUGGAGUGAUGGCUAUCGAUGUGUCUCUGGACGACAUCAAAAGACUAACGCCAAGAUUUACAUUUGGACCAAAUGGCUAUUACUUGCCAUUGACCCCAACGGUUACGUCUUGCUGCAUCCCAACCUCUGCCCAAAGG